rnacentral:rRNA from 1 species
AUGCCCUGGGUGGUGACCAACAUCUCCCUGCCGGGUGCUGGCAUCCGUGGCCAGCUUGGUGAGCUCAACUUUUCGGCUCUUCCAUUCCUCACAUAUAUUGACCUCAGCAAAAACAGUCUCCAUGGUCCAAUACCAGCUAAUAUCAGCUCUCUAUCAUCACUUUCUUAUCUUAACCUCAACUUCAACCACCUCAAAGGACAGAUUCCUUUUGAGUUUGGUAGCUUGCAGAGUCUCACCCAGCUUGAACUCUCGUUUAACAGACUCACGGGACAUUUGCAAAUUCUUGAUCUUGGUUCAAAUCAUUUUUCAGGUCAAAUUCCAAUCUCCAUAACCAAUCUCACCAAGCUGAACAUGCUUAUUCUCAUUGAAAAUCAAAUAGCAGGUUCCAUCCCCCCCGCAAUAGGCAAUCUCAAUAUGUUAAAGCAACUUUCUCUCUAUACAAAUCAAAUAACAGGUUCAAUACCCCCAGAACUAGGGAACCUCACUAUGCUCAAUGAACUUUAUCUCUACACAAAUGAAAUCACAGGCCCAAUACCUUUAGAAUUGGGAAACAUUACCAAGCUAUUACUACCGCACCUCUAUGAAAAUCAGAUAGUAGGUUCAAUACCAAAAUCUUUUGGGAAGUUGCAAAGCAUCCAAGAACUGCAUAUAUUUGAUAACAAAUUAUCAGGUUCUCUUCCUCAAGAAUUUGGAGAUGUCAUAAGCCUUGUUAAACUUGCGUUGAAUAACAACUAUCUUUCAGGACCUUUACCAGCAAAUAUAUGUUUAGGUGGCAGACUUCAAUCUCUCUUUGUCUAUUCUAAUAUGUUCAGUGGCCCCAUUCCAAAUAGUUUAAAGACUUGCACGAGUUUGGUUCGAAUAGACCUUCGGUGGAACCAACUAACAAGAGAUAUAUCUCAGCAUUUUGGUGUGUAUCCACAUCUCACAAAGAUGCGCUUGACAUCGAAUAGACUCCCUGGGCAGAUCUUACCAAAUCUAGGUGCAUCUACCGAACUGACGGUACUGCACCUAGCACAAAAUAUGAUCACGGGUUCUAUACCUCCAAUCCUUUCUAAAUUGUCUGACCUAGUAGAGCUGAGACUCGAUUGUAAUCAUCUCAGCGGUGAGAUUCCGCCAGAAAUCUGCACUUUAACUAAUCUAUAUAAACUAACCUUUUCAUCGAACCAAUUAUCUGGAUCCAUACCUACAGAGAUAGAAAAGCUCAGCAAUCUCGGAUACCUUGAUAUAUCUAGGAACAGACUGAGUGGAUCAAUACCUGAGGAACUAGGGGCCUGCAUGAAACUACAGUCCUUGAAGAUAAACGACAAUAACUUCAGUGGGAGUUUGCCUGGAGCGAUUGGAAAUUUAGCAGGCCUGCAGAUCAUGUUAGAUGUGAGCAACAAUAACCUCAGUGGUGUGUUGCCACAACAACUUGGGAAGUUGGAGAUGCUAGAAUUUCUGAAUUUAUCACAUAAUCAGUUCAAUAGCAGCAUUCCAUCCUCCUUUGCAAGCAUGGUGAGCCUUUAAACACUCGAUGUGUCCGACAACGACUUGGAAGGACCGGUCCCAACAACACGGCUACUCCAAAAUGCUUCAGCAAGUUGGUUUCUUCCCAAUAAAGGUCUGUGUGGUAACCUCUCUGGCCUGCCACCUUGUUAUUCAAUUCCAAUAGCUAGUCACCAUAAACGGAAGACAUUUGGUUUUCUUUUGCCAAUUGUUCUUGUGGUGGGUUUCGGCAUUGUUGCCGCAAUUGUUGUCAUAGUAAUGCUUAGUCGUAAAAAGAGAAAACCACAAGAAAGUGUUACUGCUGAAGCAAGGGACCUAUUCUCUGUUUGGAAUUUUGAUGGAAGAUUGGCAUUUGACGAUAUUGUAAGGGCAACAGAAGACUUCGACGAUAAGUACAACAUUGGAACGGGUGGAUAUGGCAAGGUCUAUAAAGCACAACUCCAAGAUGGGAAGCUAGUUGCUGUGAAGAAGCUUCAUCAGACCGAAGAGGAGCUUUGGCGUGGUUGUACUAGAGUUAGUUGUACCUCCAUAUAA